GACAAUGGAAACACAUGGCUCAAUUCAGCGAAGAAGCACUCUGCAUUUAGAGGUUGUUGUUCGUCUUCACUUUCUAACCGUUCCUUAGUACUUAUAAAAAACUCGUUGAUGCUCUUCUCAGAGGUGGCAAUUCUCUCCCUCAGCUCUUCGUUUAGCUUCUCAAAGGACUUCGCCUUCUCUUGCACCUCUCGAGACUGAAACUGAACCUCUUCGAUUACUCCUCUCAACUGAUCUUUCUCUUGGAUGCUUUCCUCUUGGAUUCUCAUCGCAUCAACGAGUGCUUGCUCCAACGCUGUUAUAUCAAGCUUCAUGCUCUCUAUUUCACACAAGGACUCCAACGUUAAGGACGAGAUGGUCUCCUCCAGUUUCUCCACAGAAAGAGACGAACACUGUAGCUCUGUCUCUUUGCUCCCCAGUUCUUGCAACAGCAACAAAUGCUCGGAUUUAGACAAACACAACUCCUCUCUCAAGAAUUUAACUUCUUCUUCAAAGUCCCCUGAUUCCGCCAAUUUGGAUUCAAGAUUGCGCACAUGUUCGUUGAGGUAACUCACUUCCUUGCUUUUAAAAAUCAGUUGAUCUCGCAAGUAACCUACAAGACAAAGCAUAAUAUACUCUUAAGAGUUAUUAAUGAAUUCAGAAAGAAAGUAAAUUGUUUGGCUCAGGUAGGGAGUUUACCAAUCUCUUUAUAGCAAUUCAACAACUCUAUCUCCAUGGUACGAAGUCUUGCUGUGUCUUCUAGGCGAGAUUCAGAUAAUGACUUUGAGUGGAGUUCCAAUCUCUGUGGUAAAGAGAAGAUAUAUAUAUAUAUGUCUGAAAACACUUUCCCUCAAAUGUGCAUAACAUUAAAUUGAACAAGAAGAAGAAGAAGAGCUUACUCUGACUAGUUCAAUACUAUGAGGUUUCGAUUUUCUCAGCAAGUCCUUCUCUUUCCUUAGCUGCCAUAAAUAAAAAAACAAAAGAAAGAAAGCUCAAAACUUUAUUGAUCAAAGAGUAAGAAGAAGAAGGUAUAACUAACCUCCAUGCGUCUGGAACCAAACUGGAGAAGCUCAUCAGCAGCGUCAAAGGAGAUUUCACUAUCACCUCUGGAACUACACGCCGAGCUGCUGCUACUCCUUCCUGAGAAACUUCCCGAGCUACUCGACAUUUAACAACAAGUAAUCACCACUGCCAAAGGGAGACACUUUCGUCAUUGUUUUUGUGUUCUAAUCCAAAAAUGUUAAAAUCAGAUUAGACUAUAACAAAAACAGCUAAAUUACGUCAACUUCACAGUGAUAAUUAUACUCUUCCAAUUUCAACAAGGAAGAGUAUAUAGAACACUAAAUCGCAGAGCCAAUUCCCCUUUUUUUUUGUUUACAGAAUAAAUCGGUGAGAGCGAAUAUGAGGAUGAUAAGCAUACAGAGAGAGAUGAAACCGUGCACAGAUACAAGCGAGCAGGAAAGGUUUUACCUUUACAGAUAAUAGCGCCGACGACGAAUUUGAUCGGAGAAGGUAACCUUAACCCUCGGAGAUGAUGAUUGUCGAUAUUCGAAUUCGAUGGUAAUUAUUCCCCCAAAACAAAAUUAUUCUGUUUCGGUUGAUGAUGAUGAGCUUUCUCGCUGCUUCCCUUUGUUUUUAAAAAACGAUAAAACGGGUCGAAUCCGGGUCGGGUCGGGUUGGGUCAGGUGGGUCUCCAAGCUUACUUGCCUACCUAUUAGCUUCCUUGAUCGGUCAGAAUAGCAAAAAGAGAAAGUCAAACGUUUCUGAUUUGUUUUGGACUAAAAUAAUACAGUGAUUGGGUCGUCAGUCUUCAACAAACUCCAAAAAAAUAUUCAUUUAUGGCUUUUUAUUACAUUUUAUAUAAUUGAGCUGUUAAUCUAUGUUACUUUCUUUGUUUGAUUCUGAAGUUUUAAAAAUUAAUUAAUGAUCAAAUUGAGCUUGAAUCUAGUCUAAGUUGUUGGUAUAAAUUCAGUUUUCAACUUUAUAAAAGUUCAGCUUCCCCGCAACAUAGUACAAAAGGUGUAUAAAAAUCUUGUAUAUAUAUAACACAAACAAAACCAAAAUGUGUUUCAAGACAGACGAGAGAACACACUUAAGUCACACGCUUAGCACUGUCUCCUUGAUAAAAGGGCAAUAAUCUCUUUGCCAUGUUACAUGUAUAAAUAAUAUAAACACACACACACAUUACACGCCUUCAUAUAUACAUAUGACACACGUACACGCCGUGAUUGUGUAUGUUUUCAUAAGAAUUUCAGCAGAAUCACCACGACAGAGAUUUCUAGAGACAGAGAGUAUUACAACAAUGUUUCUUUACAUGACAGAAACGUUGAUCCUGCAAAAGGAAAAAGAAAAAUUUAUGAUCACUGAAGAACACACAGAAAUUACCAAAUGAUCUAUCUAUAAUUCUGAAUCAACUUACGAAGUAAGGAGAUGUUGAAACAACUGUAUAGAGUAUUCAUUUAUCAACCCCUACAUCGAGUCCUUUAGAGCUGAUCAUCACAUUCGAAUCUAUUUGCUUAUCAAAUUUCUUCUUUCUCCUCUCUUCAAAUUCUUCGUAUCCUUCCAUCUACAUUUACACAUUGUUAUGUUACACGAAAUACUAUUCCAAGUGUGUUCCUUUGAGGUUGUGGAAUAAACAUUGACUUACCAGCUGAAACUCAUCCAUGGAUAUAGGAUUGUUAUGGAGGGAAAGAUUUUGCAGACUCUUACAAUCUCUCAGCAAUCCAUCUGGAAUCUGAAAAAAGAUACCAGUAAAUGUUAAGAGAUUUAACAUUAAAAAGUUUGGAGGGUGAAGAAACAAAUCACAGCUCAAUUGCUCUACCUGCUUCACUUGAUUAUCGUCUAAGCAAAGCGACUUUAACUGCAUCAGAUUGCAGAGUGAUUCAGGGAGCUCUUCAACAACGUUAUCUGCAAGGCUAUCCCGAUUCACGAUUAGGCUUUUGGAUCACAUCAGAAGCGAAAAGGGGACAUUUCAAACUUUCAAUGGAAACAUAAUGUUCUAAAAAAUGAAAACUAGAAAGCAUACCAUUAGCCUGUACGUCUUCUAAAGAAGCACAGCUCCCUAGUGAUUCUGGAAGGGAUUUCAAUCUGUUAUUUGAGACAUUCAACAGCACUAGCUGCAUUUCGAUAAGAGAGAGAGAGAGAGAGCCAAUUUAUUAGAGACAGCUGACUAGAGGUAUGCUCUGGGGGUGGUAAAUGAAGUUAAAACGUACAUUGCGAAGACUACCAAUAGUAUCUGGCAAGUAAAUGAGCAUAUUCCUUGAGAUUGAUAGUUGCUCAAGCCUUAUCAACUGACCCACUGCAAACAAAAAAAAAAGACACAAAAACUUUUAAGACACAGACACACAAAAACAAACAAAGAAGAUGCUAGUAAUAAAGAGAACUCUUCUUACAUUCGUCAGGCAAACAGCUGAUGCGGUUUCCAUCAAGCAUCAAAACUUUGAGAGACUGAAGCUUCCCAAGAUUCCCGGGAAGUCGCUCAAUUAGAUUAUCAGCUAUUAACUGCCAGAAUUUUUACAAAAAUUAACUUGGAUCAUUAACAGUUUGGUUCAAGAAAAUGAUGGGAUAGAGUUCACAACCAAAGCAACUACCAACAAGCAUUCAAUUAAACCGCUAAUACAACUUUUCCAUAGAAAUGACAAAUCUGUAGAUAAUAAUAUACAGAGGCAAGAGUUGUCUCACCAGACGCUGCAUAUUGAUCAACUUGCUGAUCUCUCCAGGAACAUCAGCUGCAUAAACAACAAAGUACCUUCAACAACAACUCUUAACCACAAUCAAAAGAUAAAGACUCUCGAUGAAGAAACAUACAGAUCUUGUUGUGUGUUAGAUCGAGUGUCCGCACUGCUCUCUCCAUGUCAAUCACUACAUCAGGAAAUGUCUGCUCCACAAAAACCAAAUCAGAGUAAGUCACCCACCCAUCAAGACAGAACCAACUAAACCAGUCUAAAAUCCCCAAAACAGAAACCCUAAAAACAAAAUCUUUCAUGAGCAAACUAAUCAAAGUUUGUAACUUUUCGUUUAAAACAAUCAUAGAGAUUGUUGGGAAGAUUUGGGUACCUUGAGUUUGGAGUCGCGGAGGCCAAUAAUGCCGGUGGAUCGCCACCGCUUUACCCGACUAGCCUUUGAACCUCCUCCUGGAUUGCUCGCGCAACACCCCAUUCUUCCCUGUUUCUACUACGCUCUUGAUUUUUGAUUGGAUGCUUAUAAACAGAAUAAUAUUUGUAACGGAAAAAAAAAAUCGAAAACCCAGAAAGUUUCAAAAGGAAUCAAAAUCUCUGAUUACCAAAAAGAGAGAGAUUUGGGUAAAGAAAGUUUGCGAAUUUCUGAGGAUUUGAGGUUUAGGUAAGGGGUCGAGCCAAGGUCUCUGGAAGCCAAUUUUGGGAUACAAAAAUAAAUAAAUAAUAUAAAUUAGAAAAGUAGUUUUCAAAAUUAAAUGAGAGUGGAGAAGGACUCUCGUCAAGUCACUAUCUCAUGUCACCAACCUUUGAAAAACUCCAAGAUUGGUAAAGACGCCGAGACCAAAACAAAAAUUAACACAGACACUUUUAUCGUGGUUCCUCGUUGAUUUAAAUCCCCGAGACUCGUAUUAUCAAAGCACCAUGUUUCAUCGAGUUCAAGUACACUAGUCAAAUCUUCUAAGACCCAAUUUUGUAGAAUCAUAUGUUGUUGUGACAUGUGAGUCUUUGAAAAUCUAAACACUUUAGAGAAAGAGGAUGAAGCUGUGAUCAAACAUAUUGUAAGAAAUAGAGUUUAACCCUCUGUUUUUCACUAACCCCUUCCUCAAGCAACUGUUCUUUUAUUUUGAACCAAUUUGAUAUGAGAGAAAAGCCAAACUGUAUUAUAUUCUGAGGUUUUACGAGUGGGAAACAUUUACAAGAUAAAUAAACUAAUCUAAGAAAAAUAACAGGCUUUAUGAUAUAAUAUAUUUACAUGAUUCUUUCUGAAAAUGAUAAUUUAACAAGCUCUGUAUCAGUUCCAUUCAUGUCAUGACUCAUGACACUACAACACUAUGAGAACUGCCAAAAAAUCUUGGAAACCAGAUUCCAUUUUCUUUGUUUUUUCCUACUUCCACAUAGAACCCGCUUCUGCACUCAAUGGGUUCGAUCUCCAAGACUUGUCUAACAUUCCAUUCGAUAGACAGAGAGACGAGACAUGUAAAUACACAUAUAUUUGAAAACUUCUAUUACACAGUGACUAACCAGUUGAAGCAGAAAUCAAUACUUUCUUCCUUUUAAGUUAACCUUACAGCCAUUUCUUGAAGCAGAGCUCGUUUCUGUGAAGCGUUGAUCACUUGAUUUGUUUCUGCAUUCUCUAGAACAUCUGUGAUUAUAGCCGCUGCGUGACCCAGUGGCUCCUCCGCUGCUCUCUUUAGCAUGAAAGCCUGUUUGCAAGUGAAUGCCAUUGAUAAAACAAACAUCAGUUUAACAAAAAAUGGUUCAAGCUUAAAAAAAAUUAAGAGUCGGUUUUGAUCUAGAAUUCUUGUAGACCUGGCCAUGGUGCGAUAUGGUUAAGGUACAUGGUUGUUGAGACCAAGGUUCUCCAUCGAUUUGCACAGGCAACGGCGCACAAAGUUGUAUCUUCACUGAUUGCCCCUGAGCUAACCUUCUUGCUUGAGACAACCCAACCUGAAAAUGUGAAUAAAAAAACAGUUGAUGUUAGGUUUACAAGAUAUCAUGCAAAUAGAACCUCUAAGAUGAUCAUUAUCGUACCUGGAGUUUUCCAAGGUGCCACGUUCCAGAUAUACUCACGACUUCUACUACCUUGUCGUGGAUAGAUUGCGGAUCAAAGUUUUCAUAUGUUUCAUCUUCAUUCUGCCAUAAAUCCACACCUCCCAUGUAACUUCCGAUGUUUGCAACAAGUACUCCUUCCGCAUCCUUCAAAGAUAUAGCAUAGAGAAGUUACAUCAUUAACUAUUAUUAUGUAAACUAGUUUAAUGUGAUUUACCUCAGGAACCUCGAUGUCAACACCAUCCACCUCAACUCGAACUUGCCAAGGGAAAUCUUCGAAUGUUCGGUCCAUUAUACUCCUUGCACCUUCUCUAGCGUAUAGGACUUUGUUCAUAAACUGCACAUGGAAAGCAUUCAAAUGUCAGUUUCAGCUUCUCUAAAAUAAUGCCAGUUAAAUCAUACGAUUAUUAAAGGUACUAAUGGCAGGAGUCCUGAACUUUAUUGAUCACCUGGCUAUAAAAUCUCUCUGGAUUCUCCUCCCGUAGAUUAUGAAUAUCAAGGGCUACCUUCGCAUCACACCCAACCCCUAUUAAGAUUCACAAUGUAAGCAAGAAAUUUAUAAAUAAUUGAAGAAUAUUACCAAGAGGUUGUGAGUUUAACUGACCUAUAUAAUUGUUCAUAUAUUUUGGCGGCUGGAGUUGUUUUCCUUGUUGAUUCAGAAUCGAUACUUUCCAACGAUCAAGGACAGUGACUGCAGCAUGCUCUAUGUUCUGUAAUACUGUAGAUAAGCCUCCUUGUCUCUCAACAGAACCCAAACCACCACCCCAGUUCUCAUACCCUCCAUUUUAUCGAUCAAAGUUGCAUUCCCGGAAAGUUCUAGUUUCUUGAUGAUUGCAUCGAAACAUUCUCUGUAAAACACAAAACCAACCAACAUUAUUACAAACGAGGAUAACACUAAAUUUUGUCUUUAAGCUGAAACUCACCGAACUUCACUGGACAAUGGAAACACAUGGCUCAAUUCAGCGAAGAAGCACUCUGCAUUUAGAGGUUGUUGUUCGUCUUCACUUUCUAACCGUUCCUUAGUACUUAUAAAAAACUCGUUGAUGCUCUUCUCAGAGGUGGCAAUUCUCUCCCUCAGCUCUUCGUUUAGCUUCUCAAAGGACUUCGCCUUCUCUUGCACCUCUCGAGACUGAAACUGAACCUCUUCGAUUACUCCUCUCAACUGAUCUUUCU
rnacentral:lncRNA from 1 species